rnacentral:sRNA from 1 species
CCUCCUCGCCCUCCAGGCCGCCCGCGCCGCGCCGGAGUCCGCUGUCCGCCAGCUACCCGCUUCCUGCUUCCCGCCGCUGCCAUGCUGCCCGCCGCGCUGCUCCGCCGCCCGGGACUUGGCCGCCUCGUCCGCCACGCCCGUGCCUAUGCCGAGGCCGCCGCCGCCCCGGCUGCCGCCUCUGGCCCCAACCAGAUGUCCUUCACCUUCGCCUCUCCCACGCAGGUUCGGGCGCUGCGGGUCGAGACCCUCCGUGACCGCCGCCCCCGGAGUCCAGGGUCCCCACCCCCAGGGCGCGACCCCCGCUUCCGGGCCCCCGGACCCGUGCGCCCCGGAAGCCGAGGCCACUCAGCCCUGGACCCCCGGCCCUGCCUCUGCUGCCCGAGCCCUGCGCUGCCCUCGUCUCGGGCACCUCCCCGAGAUAAGCGUCUCCUGGGUGUCCUCCCCGAUCUCCCUGGCCAAAGCCUGGGUGUCGCCGGAUCGCUGCAUUCCCAUUUCGCGGAUCAGUAGAAUGAGGCGCAACUGUUGAGGACCAAAGCUGCAACCUCGGAUCCCUGCGCUGGGUUGUCUCAGUGCCUCACAUCAGCGCCAGGUCCUGCCCUGACCCAUUUUUUAGCAGGACAGGCCGAGUCCCCGGUGGGCGCGGGGCCGGCCUGCCCCGCCAUCAUUCCCCACGCUGUUGUCUGCAGGUGUUCUUCAACGGUGCCAACGUCCGGCAGGUGGACGUGCCCACGCUGACCGGAGCCUUCGGCAUCCUGGCGGCCCACGUGCCCACGCUGCAGGUCCUGCGGCCGGGGCUGGUGGUGGUGCAUGCAGAGGACGGCACCACCUCCAAAUACUUUGUGAGCAGCGGUUCCAUCGCAGUGAACGCCGACUCUUCAGUGCAGUUGUUGGCCGAAGAGGCCGUGACGCUGGACAUGUUGGACCUGGGGGCAGCCAAGGCGAACUUGGAGAAGGCCCAAGCGGAGCUGUUGGGGACGGCUGACGAGGCCACGCGAGCAGAGAUCCAGAUCCGAAUCGAGGCCAACGAGGCCCUGGUGAAGGCCCUGGAGUAGGCGAGCCAGCCGCCAAGGUUGACCUCAGCUUCGGAGCCACCUCUGGAUGAACUGCCCCCAGCCCCUGCGCCAUUAAAGACCGGGAAGCCUGA